GGCCGACUGGCCUAAUGGUUAAGGCGUCAGUUUCCGGUUGGGUGUUAGCUGAAGAUUCUGGGUUCGAAUCCCAGGUUGGUCG
rnacentral:tRNA from 1 species